GCCACAUGGCAGGCUGGGGGCGUCUGCCUGUCCUGAAAGAGGGAAAAGUCUGACACUGCAGAGGGUGCAGGAAGUCAUGAACAGUGAGAGGUGGCCUAGAGAAGCGUCAGUCCUUCCCAUCAGAGGACAGACAGAGCCAAGGAGAAGGCAGGUAUGAGGAAGAGCGUGAAAGGAGUCAAGACUCAUGCCUCCCUCCAUGAAAAGAGUAUCAACAACAACAACAAUAACAAAAAUGACGCGGGGGGAGGGAGACGGAGGAGGAAGAAACCUGCUCAAGCCAGCCACAGCAAGUGUUUAAGUAAAGGUAAAAAUCAGCAUUUUUUUUCCUGUGAAGUCAGAGUGAAGGUAGCUUGGAAGAGGAUUUUAUUUACACAAAAUCAUACCCACCUACCCACCGACCUACACCCCUCCAAAAAAAAAAAAAAAAAAAAAAGAAUAGAAAAGAAAAAAAAAAAGAAAGAGAGAGAGAAAAAAAAAAACAAGAAGAAAGGUGUUGUCUGCAGUGUUUGGUUCCUCAGUACUUUGAAAACAUAAAUAGAUAAAACGGUUUAGGGAUUUCCAGAUGACCACUCGGGAGUCCCAGUGUGUGGCGGUGGCGGCAGAAGCUUUCCUGUGAAAGGGGUGCUAGAACUUCAGUUGGUUUGGAGUUAUUGUCCCCCAACACAGGGCUACCAAGGGUUUCAGUGUUUGCCUUUCAGGAGGGAGGCCAAGGCGCGGCCGUCUAGCCUCAGACCUUUUAGUUCUCCACUUGAGCCGGCUCGGUCCUGCUGUAGACUGCGCCCUUCUCCGGGCAGCCUGCUCAUUAUUGAGAGGGCCAGCAAGCAGCGUGUGGUCAGGGUCUCUUGAUUCGGAGCCACUGGGCAGAGCAAAGCCAAGGCCAAGCUGGAGACUUUGUGGGCCUAAUGGGCCCGGAGUGCGCUUGCUGUGCUCAGCCUUCUUUCUUGCCCGAAAGGAAACAAGGGAGCUCAGGUCCGCGCACUACCAGAAGCGUUUGGGCUGCUUUCGGCUUUUGUUCGCUUUAAAAACCCAGCUUCACUGUUUCGUUGCGCUCUCAGAGAAGCCUCUGACCUCCUCUGUGUACGACUCUUCCCUAAGUUCUUGUUUGCUUAUUUUACUUAUUUAUUUAUUUAUUUGUUUAUUUAUUUAUUCAUUCAUUCAUUUAUUUAUUCAUUCAUUUAUUUUUAAGAGACAGUGGAACCGUGGGAGAACGUUUACCCUGAGCUGGAAGGUUGUUUUGUUUUGUUUUGUUUUGUUUUGUUUUGUUUUAAAUGGUGACCUAUUGUCAGAGGUCGCAAGUUGACUGUGAUCUGGGGUUGCUGCCCUCGAGGGUUCCUGCCCUGGAGAGCUUGGUUAAGAAGUUGCUCAAGGGACAUCCUAUGGCAGUCCUUGGCAAGGUUUCAGGGGUCGCAUCCCUACCAGGGAUGGAAACACUCUUGUUUUGUGAACAAAGCGGGUUACCUACCAGAUCACAACAUUAAGGUGUUUUGUUGUUGUUGUUAAAGACAGUCAGGCCAGCUCUAAGCCAUGUAGGAGUUACAUUGUUACAUCCAGGACCUCUCCCAUUCUGCUUGGAAUCUCGGAAGACUCGGAGAUUCCACCACAAGUUCAGACUCGGUCCCUUCUUUAGCUGGGAGGGGACCAGUUCCAGGCAGGUCAAGAGCUCCUUUCAAGCUCUUCCCACUCCCUUAAAUUCUUGCUUGUGUCCAAUUUGUAUCUUAAGCGCCUCCAGGAGAAGCCCCUUCAAAUUCAGGGGGCAAAACCUUUCUUUCAAAACCCAGCUGGGUGCCUCCAUCCUUCCCAGUGGGAAAGAGAGAGACUGGGAGCCCUCUAGGAGCCCCUUCUCAGCACUGUGCACACUGCCCCCUCCAUUUGGGACUCCGUUCAAAUGUUUUACACUUGAGAGAAGCUCAGGGCUUCUCUCUAUCCCCCUACAGUGGUUUCUUGACCAGAAGGUAGCAGCAGCUCCCACAGACAUCCGACCUCCGUCUCCUAAAUUUCCAGAAUAAGAAGUGCCUUUGGUGGGCUCUUGGGUGAGGAUUGCCUCCAGGGGCCAAGUUCUCUUUUGCUUUGCACACGGGGCCUGACCAGCCAGUCUGUCAAUCAGCCUGUAUAGCUGCACACCCAAGCCUUGGCCAGGACAAGAUUCGAAUCUUCAAAGAUUUGAAUUUAGAAAACCAAUCAGAGCAAUUUCUACACUUUUCCUUUUUCCCCCCACCUAUAUGCAUAUGUCCAUAGUUGAAAAAACACGAGCUCUUUUUUAAUUUAGGUCUUCUCUUCCACCAUUUUAGGGCUUGAAGUGUGUGUAUGUAUGUAUGUGUGUGUGUGUUUGAGUGUAUAUUCAUGCAAUAUUGCUCAUAGAUAUGAAUAUGUAUAGAGUUGAUAAUGUUUAUAAAUUGUCUAGUAUUAGUCUUAGAGUGUAAACUAAAUGAAAAAUCACCCCAGUGUGUAGAAAGGAGAAGCAAGUCUAAGUAUUUAGGAGUUAGUCGUUAAUUAUUAAAUCUAAAACUCUUAUGAAAUUUCUUUGCUUGAUACAAAUGAAGCACCGGGAUUAUGUUGUUGUUGUUCUUUUAUUGUUAAUACGAACCCAAAUUCUCUUUUACUAAAAGAAAGUUCUGAGACUAGGAUGCACUUUCUUUUCUGAUGACUGUCAUCCACAGCAUAACAGUCAUGUUAUGUCAGGAUAUCUGGGGGUGGGGGGAGAGAGAGAAAGGGAAAGGGAAAGAGAGAAAGAGAAGCCCUACAGCCAUGACCAUCUUUGCAUCAAAAUUUUUCAGACCUCUAUUUUUGAUUGUGAUCCUACUGAUCUGAGUUUGAAAUGCGAGCGCAGUGAAGCCCCUAAGCCUUCAAUCCUGUGAAAUUUUCAAAAGAUCUCUAGAAGCAAUCUCAGGCUGCCUGACCCCUGACAGGCACCGAUCUCUUUAUUCCUCGGGCUGCCAGCACUUCAUUUGUUGGAAUAUCUUUCAGAUUUGCACCUCCAGAUGACAAACCUGAGUGUUUAUUAUGUGAACAUGAAUCGGAAAUCUCCAAGCCCGUACAAAAGCACCAUCUUAAACAAAAUAUUUAAUUUCUCAGCCUAAGUGCCAGCUUCUUUAUUUGCUUUUCAUUAGCUUAAAUAUUUUUUUCAGGUCUCUCCGAGUGUCACUUUGAUAUUUAGAUGAUUCUCUUUUUUAAUCAUUAUUUUCCCCUUGGGGGGGGAAGUCUUCUGUCUCCGGUGUCUGCAAGUGCUCAUAUAACAUCACAGUGCUGCAUUUAGCCAGGGCUCACUGCCUGACGUCUAACACUGAAAAAGGGGACUCAUCUCCGAAAAGGGUGGGGGCAAGUUCCACACCAGAAAAAAAAAAAAAAAAACAAUGUUCGGUUUUUGUUUUGUUUUAAACCAGCAGUCAGGGCUGGCUAUGGAUCAAUGAUGACCCCUCCAUUUCAUUUCACUUUUAUUUUUCUCCUGGCCUUUGAGAUUCCUUUUAUUAUUAUUUAAAAAACAAAACAAGACCUCAGAGAAAGUGCAGGGAAAAACCUUCCUCAUUUCGAGCAUGCCUAGCUUGGAGCUGGUGUCUCCGUGAGUGUGUCGAGUUUUAAAUGCCUGUCUUGAUCAGUGACUCCUGUCCUGGGCAUUCAUUCCCGUCUUGCCACUCUGGGGCUAGAGGGGCACUAGAGGGAAAGGAGAUGGGCAUAUUUCCUCAACUGCUGUAUUUAAAUGACCUCUGCCAAAUAAAUAUUCCCCCCCACAAGACACUGAGGUGGAGACACUGGCCACCCUUGCCCUAGUUUCAGCCUCUGACAGGAAGUUUUGGAGCCCAACAGGUCGCUCUGGUGAAUUGAGUUGAGCCAGGGAGGCAAGGCUGCAUCCGAGAGGAUCCUGGGGAUGAAUCACCAAUAUGAAGCAGUCCCAGGUCCAGAGAAGGGGCCCUGUCACCGCCUGGACCCGAGCCUUUGACAUCUCGGAUUGGCCUCGCUGCAGGCACAAAUAACACCAGCGCCAUCCUGGUCUCUCGGCGUCAGCUCCCUGCCUGAGUCUCAGGACCUGAAGCCCAGUGCCCAAAUGCGAAGAGCAACGAGUUGGGGGGUGGGGUAUGAGCAAGACUCCUGGAAAGAAGAGUGGGAGGGUAGGAGAGUCAUUACGCGGAGGAGGAAAGAGGGAGGGUUAGGAUGGGAGGAACUAGGACGGUGACACCUGGUAGGCAUUGUCCCUGCAAGAGACACCUGUCAAUCUCCGCUCAGGGGUCCUGGGGCCAGCGGCGGAGAGACUGCGGUUCUCUUUGGUGAUGUCAUCUUGGAGUCUCUUCCCUAAGGAGGGUGAGAAUGGCUCCGAGGGCGCUGAGCCCAGAGGGCUUAGAGAAACGUGGGGGAAGGAAAAGAGAAAAUAAACAGAAGUAGCUCUCCCGGCUGGCAAUUUACAUGGAAAUCAAUAAUCCAACUUUAAUGUUAUUUUUUAAUCUUGCCUGACCGUCUUGCCUUUUCACUAGGGGAGGAGGGAUGGGGUUACGGCAGCCCAUCCCUCCAACCCACAACAUCGCUGGGGAAGCCUUAUUAUCUCAGAUCCCGAUGUAACCGACCCUUUCCCCAGAUCCAGCCCCCCUCUUUUUUUUUUUUUUUUUUUUUUUUUUCCUGCGGGAUGUUCCAAACGCAGCCUUCAGGCUUGAGGAGGAAACACUUGGGGAUGAGUUCUGAAAGUCUUCCGAUACUGCACCGGGUGAAGGGGGAGUUAAUUAACGCCAGGCUUGCUCGGCGAGUGGGAGAGGGGCCCUCGGCGUGGGUGGGCGGGCCAGGUCGAACGCAGAGGUGCGUGCAGUGCGGGAGGCGCGGGAUCUGGAAGCCCGAGCUUGCAGGCCUUGGCUGGCAGGAGGUGAACGGAGGUGGCUCGGGCGGGAGACGCUGAGAUGCCCCCAAGGAAUCCCCACGGUUAAUCUGGGGAAUUCUGAUCUCCCACCUACUGAGCCCCCACUCCCAACCCACCGUGCGCUACAUUCUUUUCGGCCGGAGCUAAUUAGCAGCCUGCCAGCGGCCUGAUUUAUGGAAACGCUCGGGCGGGUGGAGACGCACCGCUCGCGGAGCUCAGGCUGCCUCCGGGAGGAGCGGAGGAGGAGUCUUCACCGACCUCCUCCGACGAAUUCCCCUCCUCCCUGCCGGGGGAAAAAAAAAAUGGAAGUUGCUGUUUCACUGGUUCGACCUGGCUGGUCCAGGGGUCUACCCUCGCCCUAGCUACCUUAACCUGGAGCGCGGGGAUGUCUAGGUUCCCGUGAGGAAGGCGGGGACUCUAAGUACCGCAGUAGUUGAAGUUGCAAGGGUUGAGACCACUAGGUUCCAGCUCCAGCUGACCCACAGGGUCAGCUAGAACCAGAGCCUUCCAGGCCCGAGUUGAAUCUCCGUCAGGGGUCCCGAAUGAAGGGACAGCGGGUUUGAAGGUGCCGCCGGAGGCGCCGCAGGGCCAAAUCACAUCUCCAGGCAGGAAGAAGAGAUGGGAGACCCCGCCCGCAGCAGAGGGACAGACCCCCAAACUCAAGUGUCUUUGUCUUGAUCCUAGGGACGGGCCGCGGUCUUUUCCACUUUCUAGUUGUUUCUUUAUGGUGUCGCUCCCCUCCCCCCGUCCCCCAGUGACAUCCUCUAUUCGGUCCAAGCGAGCGCCCAGGGAAGGGCCAUUACUAGAAGCCCUUAGCCAAAAGCUUACGCAAAGAACCAGCGCAAUCUGAUAGUUGCCUUCCCAAGCUGUUGUGGAUGACCCAGGAGGAAAGGGGCAAGUUGUUCCCCCCUUUUCCCGUGGACUUUAGUAAUAAGGGUGGAGAGGAAAGGAUCAGCGAAGGGCAGAGACGAUUCUCAGCAUGGACCUGUUGCUGACGCUUAAGCAACCGUUCUGCUCUUCAGGACGACACUGGUUACCAGUGAUUCUCCAAGAUGCACCGGGACGGAUGCAACCGUGAGAACAUCUGUGCCCCCUGGAAGCGUUUGGAGGGGGAAAGACAAGCAGAACCAGAGGCCAGAGGCUUGGACAGCCUCAGUGUUGGGCUCCGGGUUCACUAGAAACUGAGCAGCACUGGUGGGAAGCGCGGAGAGAGCAGAAGUCCCUGGCAAGAAGACAUUCCCUGACCCUUAAGCCCCUUUCUCUCUCAACACCCAUCCCGACACCCCAGGCCUUGAGGUGGCUGAACUGGAAGUUGUGGAGAACCGACAUCUCUAAGAGCUCGUGUAAACUAUAUGUUAAAACACCCCAUCGGUUUGCCUAGUUCAGAAGUUUUGAUCUCCUGCCUGUUUCAAGAGCAGAAUCAUCAACCUUCACCUCUCUCCUCAAAACCGCAUCAUCUCCUACCUGUGGGCCCUCAGUUCCCUUUUUCUUUUUCUUGUGAGGACCAGUCAGAUACACACACACACACACACACACACACGCACACGCACACGCACACGGGGCGGGGGGAGGGGAAAGAAGACAGAGACACAGAGAAAGAAAGCAGAAAAAAAAAAUAAUUCCAAAUGGAAACAUUCAAGGAGUCUUCCAAACCCCUGGCAGACUGUUAAAACUGAGCCCGAUCUUUCCUCUAUAAUGUGGCAUCCAGUCCCUUGAUUGAGGAUGACCUCUCUGAAUUGCCCACUGUCCUAAGUAAGGCCUGUCAUCUGCCUGGCCUGGACAAUAGCCCAAAUCCACCACUGGUGAGAUGCAGGCUCACCAACAUGUCCCCUUUGGAUGUUCUGGUGUUUUGAUCCCCUAUUCCCAACCCCAACCCCAUUGCCAUUAUCCAGGCCAAAGCCUCACUGAGUCAGGUUGCUGACAGGCCACCUUCAGCACAGCAAAUGCUGGAGGUUAGGUGCCCAAAUAACAUUCCCCAUUUGUCUUUUUCAAAGUUGAUUUAUAGCAAUCGACAGGUUAAAGGCUCAUCUGACAUCAUUAUUUUUAAAAGCUGUCUAUUUCACAACUGUCACCUUUCAUCACUUAGCACAAAUAAAUACUUGAAGAAGUGAAUUGGAA